GAUGAACGCUGGCGGCGUGCUUAACACAUGCAAGUCGAACGAGAAGUGGAGACGGAAACCUUCGGGCGGAAGACUUUAUUUCGAGUGGCGGACGGGUGAGUAACGCGUGGGUAACCUGCCUCAUACAGGGGGAUAACAGUUGGAAACGACUGUUAAUACCGCAUAAGACCACGGCACCGCAUGGUGCGGGGGUAAAAACUCCGGUGGUAUGAGAUGGACCCGCGUUCGAUUAGCCAGUUGGCGGGGUAACGGCCCACCAAAGCGACGAUCGAUAGCCGAUCUGAGAGGAUGACCGGCCACAUUGGGACUGAGACACGGCCCAAACUCCUACGGGAGGCAGCAGUGGGGAAUAUUGCACAAUGGGGGAAACCCUGAUGCAGCGACGCCGCGUGAGUGAAGAAGUAUUUCGGUAUGUAAAGCUCUAUCAGCAGGGAAGAAAAUGACGGUACCUGAGUAAGAAGCCCCGGCUAACUACGUG
rnacentral:rRNA from 1 species